AUUGAACGCUGGCGGCAUGCCUUACACAUGCAAGUCGAACGGUAACAAGUCUUCGGAUGCUGACGAGUGGCGAACGGGUGAGUAAUACAUCGGAACGUGCCUAGUAGUGGGGGAUAACUACUCGAAAGAGUGGCUAAUACCGCAUGAGAUCUACGGAUGAAAGCAGGGGAUCGCAAGACCUUGUGCUACUAGAGCGGCCGAUGGCAGAUUAGGUAGUUGGUGGGAUAAAAGCUUACCAAGCCGACGAUCUGUAGCUGGUCUGAGAGGACGAUCAGCCACACUGGGACUGAGACACGGCCCAGACUCCUACGGGAGGCAGCAGUGGGGAAUUUUGGACAAUGGGCGCAAGCCUGAUCCAGCAAUGCCGCGUGCAGGAUGAAGGCCUUCGGGUUGUAAACUGCUUUUGUACGGAACGAAAAGCCCUGGGUUAAUACCCUGGGGUCAUGACGGUACCGUAAGAAUAGGCACCGGCUAACUACGUGCCAGCAGCCGCGGUAACAC
rnacentral:rRNA from 1 species